rnacentral:misc_RNA from 1 species
AGGUAGAAGAAAUAAUUAAAGAGGACAGAGCUAAAAGAAGUAAAACAGACAUCUAACCGCAGUAUCUGAAAUCUUUAGUAUAUAACUUUGGACUAUAAACGGUGAUCAAAAAGCUUGCUGUGGGAUCCAACCAAUUGUAAGUCGGCGAUGAAAUUGGAUGCAUGGAGCAACUCAGAUGAAAUUCCUUCCUUUCCACAUGCACUGUUGUUGCCCCUAUCACUUGAGUUGAAGCCAUUGAAUUUCAACUCACACUUUCUCCGACUAAAGCCAAAGUCUGAGAAGGAAAGGUCCGCUAAAGAAAAUUUUAGUUUAGAGGUUUAGUUUUAAAACGAGAUGGAAAUGCUGCUUUUGUUAUUCAU